AGCGAACGCUGGCGGCAGGCCUAACACAUGCAAGUCGAACGAACCUUUCGGGGUUAGUGGCGGACGGGUGAGUCACCCGUGGGAACGUGCCUUUAUGUGCGGCAUAACUCAGGGACACUUGUGCUAAUACCGAAUGUGCGCUACGGGGGAAAGAUUAAUCGCCUUUAGAGCGGCCGGCGUCUGAUUAGCUAGUUGGUUGAGGUAAUGGCUCACCAAGGCGACGAUAAGUAGCUGGUCUGAGAGGAUGAUCCGCCACAUUGGAGCGGAGACACGGCCCAAAAUCCUACGGGAGGCGGGAGUGGGGGAUCUUGCGCAAUGGGCGAAAGCCUGACGCAGCCAUGCCGGGUGAAUGAUGAAGGUCUUAGGAUUGUAAAAUUCUUUCAACGGGGACGAUAAUGACGGUACCCGGAGAAGAAGCCCCGGCUAACUUCGUG
rnacentral:rRNA from 1 species